rnacentral:rRNA from 1 species
UACAGAGGUCCAAGCGUUGUUCGGAUUCACUGGGCGUAAAGGGUGCGUAGGUGGCUUGUUAAGUCAGUGGUGAAAUACAGCCGCUCAACGGUUGAGGUGCCAUUGAUACUGACAAGCUUGAAACAAGUGGAGGUUGCCGGAAUGGAUGGUGUAGCGGUGAAAUGCAUAGAUAUCAUCCAGAACACCGAUUGCGAAGGCAGGUGACUACGUUUGAUUUGACACUGAGGCACGAAAGCAUGGGGAGCAAACAGG